GUGGGGAAUAUUGGACAAUGGGGGCAACCCUGAUCCAGCAAUGCCGCGUGAGUGAAGAAGGCCUUAGGGUUGUAAAGCUCUUUCGCCGGUGAAGAUGAUGACUGUAACCGGUAAAGAAGCCCCGGCUAACUCCGUGCCAGCAGCCGCGGUAAUACGGAGGGGGCUAGCGUUGUUCGGAAUUACUGGGCGUAAAGCGCGCGUAGGCGGCGUAUUUAGUUGGGGGUGAAAGGCCUGGGCUCAACCUAGGAACGGCCUUCAAUACUGAUAUGCUAGAGUCCGUGAGGGGGCAGUGGAAUUCCCAGUGUAGAGGUGAAAUUCGUAGAUAUUGGGAAGAACACCAGUGGCGAAGGCGACUGCCUGGCACGGUACUGACGCUGAGGUGCGAAAGCGUGGGGAGCAAACAGGAUUAGAAACCCUGGUAGUCC
rnacentral:rRNA from 1 species